rnacentral:rRNA from 1 species
GAGGUAAGUGUGGGCCAGCAGGGGCGGUAAGACGGAGGGGGCAAGGGGUGUCCGGAUUUAUGGGGCGUAAAGAGCGAGUAGGCGGCCGGACAGGUCAGCUGUGAAAACUCGAGUCUCAACCUCGAGACGUCGGGUGAAACCGUCUGGCUAGAGGCCGGAAGAGGAGAGUGGAAUUCCCGGUGUAGCGGUGAAAUGCGCAGAUAUCGGGAAGAACACCCGUGGCGAAGGCGGCGCUCUGGGACGGUACUGACGCUGAGACGCGAAAGCGUGGGGAGCGAACAGGAUUAGAUACCCGUAGUC